rnacentral:misc_RNA from 1 species
GAUGAAGAACGCAGCGAAAUGCGAUAAGUAAUGUGAAUUGCAGAAUUCAGUGAAUCAUCGAAUCUUUGAACGCACAUUGCGCCCGCCAGUAUUCUGGCGGGCAUGCCUGUCCGAGCGUCAUUUCAACCCUCGAACCCCUCCGGGGGGUCGGCGUUGGGGAUCGGCACUUACCUGCCGGCCCCGAAAUACAGUGGCGGUCUCGCCGCAGCCUCUCCUGCGCAGUAGUUUGCACACUCGCACCGGGAGCGCGGCGCGUCCACGGCCGUAAAACAACCCAAACUUCUGAAAUGUUGACCUCGGAUCAGGUAGGAAUACCCGCUGAACUUAAGCAUAUCAAUAAGCGGACGA